CUCUUCAAAUGGCUCCCCUUGUCUCUACCACCCCAACCAGUGUCCCUCUCUGCUUCCUCUCUUUCUACGCUUUCUCUAAUUCCUCCAAUCCUUCCUUCUUCCCAAUCCCUCCUCGCCCUCUAUUUCAACCUCUUACUUCUCAUUGCACCAUGGGUUGUCAUGGUCGGUGUCGCGCCGCCAGCCCCCGCCCUCCUCCUCCUCCCCGAAUCGACCCACCUCCCGGGAACAAUCCAAGGAAGCUUCAAGGAUUGUAAUAUGUGAUGAAAAUUCUAUUAGUAUCAAAGGAAUUCGCAGAUUCGUUGUAGCAAAUCGAGAUCAGGAGAUUGCAUAAUGCCGAUGACCUUUGGCUUCCGGUAAGCAAUGAUAAGUGGAGAAGCUUUCCUCUCUAAGCCUGUGGGAAAUUGGGACGACUCUUGAACUUCUCAAGGGUUUGCUGCUUUUCAGUAAUUCUUUGUUCAAGACAAUGGAGGCAACCUGUUUGUCAAUAUUCAGUUCGGAGAAUAUAAGAACACUUAAUAAUUGUUUGAAUUUGAAACUGACACACUAUGUCCGUAAUUACCAUUUGACUAUAUCAAGUUAUAACCAUGUCUAAAAUUGGAUUACAUGGUAUGUUCUUCCUUUGAUAUAAAUUGACUGUGCUAGUUACCAAAAGUCCGGUUUCUAUUCCUCAGAUAUCAGGGGCUUUCUAGUGAGCAUGCUGCUAAAAAUUCAAGAAAAUUUAAAUGUUGGCUAUAUAGUAAUAUGAGUGCCCUUUGGUUUAAAGAAUCAUAGGGAAUGUAAUGAUAGCAAAUAAUGAAAUGAUGAUUACAAAGCAUUUGUUUGGUAUGCCAUCAAGGAAUCAUGGAAUGAACUUCAUAUUUUAUCUAGAAGGAAAAAAAUAAAUGUGAAAUGAUAUUUUUAACUCUAUCAAGGUCAAAAAUGGAGGGUAUAAAUGUUUAAAUACUUAUUCAUAGAAGGUAUAGAUGUCCAUACGUUGAUUCAUAUAAGCUUAAAUCCAGAUUACACAGGCAAAGUUAUGUAAUGGGAUUACUUGAUUUGUUAUAAUAUGUUAUUAUCAAGAUUGCAUUGAAUUACUUUACUAUGUCAACCAAACACGUGAAUCAGCAAAAUCCAUGUAAUGUACAGAAUUGAAUCAAACAUACCGAAACUGUGGAUCAGAAAGAGAUAGUAAAAUUAAAUAUGCUGAUACAACAGUAUUGAAAGCAAGAACCGUGUUUCUAUUGCUGUAAAGUGCAAGAAUAAUUAACACAAAAUCACUUCCCCAACUUGCAAUGAGCUGUUGUUUGGUUCUCCUCGAGUUAUAUAGAUUUAAUUUUGCAUCCCAUCACUUCUAUAGGCUACGUCUGUUUUGACAACUGCAAAAAUGUAUUUGUUAUUAAGAUAUCAUGUUGAUAUUUCUUCCAUCAUAUGAUGAUCUGUUUGAUGCGCAAUAUUGUGAAUGAAUCAUCCAUGCCUGAAUGUCUCUUGCACGUUACAAUGUUUGAUGCAUGUUAGUGUCUAUGGUGUAUUUUUUGUGAGAACGAUGGCAUGUUUUGUCAACAUAUGGUUUAUCAGGUAUCCUAUGCCCAGCUUCAUUUUACGCUUGAUUUGCUUGUUUCUUCUUCUAUGGCCAGGUGCAGCUCGCAGUACUGACCGACCCUUUUUUUUUUCUGUUGAUUUUGGGAACCAGGUCUUUCUACAUCUUUGUCCAAAAUUAAAGAUAGAGUACAGAUCUUCUUUGCUGUUCUUUUCUGGAUGUCUCUAUUCUUUUGGGCGUCUGCAUGGAAUGGGAGGAAUAAACCAAACAAAGGAUCAAGACGUAGAAGAUAACAUGCGAAGCAUUUCACUUGUAUAUAUAUCAAAUUAUAGCGUAGGGGAUAGAAUUGGAAUAUACAGUGAUGGAGGGAAAAAGCAUUUAAAUGGGUGGAAUGAAAUGUUCCUGAUCCUGAGGCUCCAUUAUUUUUUCUCUCCUGAGAUUUUUUGCAUGCUUUGAUUGAUCCGGUUUCUUGCUAGUUGACAAGGCAACUCUUUAACUAGCCUUCAAAUGGAUUUGAAAGUCCAAAUUCAGGGCUGGAAUUUGGAAUCACUCCUAUAGAGAGACCAGGAGGAUCAAUGGUUAAUUCCUUUUGCCCCCAUGAACGAAAUCGGACGCAGACAGAAUGAGCACAUCAGAAGACCCCGAAAAUUAGAAACAGCCUAAGCCAUUACUAUUUGGAACUCAUAUUUGUUUUGUGAACUAAAAUCGUUUUUCCAAUGGAAUUACUUUCGACACUGACCCUAUCGCCCAUGGUAUUUGUCUCCA